rfam:Felis catus isolate Cinnamon breed Abyssinian chromosome X, whole genome shotgun sequence.
GCCUGGGUGGCUCAGUCGGUUGAGCAUCUGACUAAAGCUCAGGUCAUGAUCUCACAGUUUGUGGGUUCGAGCCCCGCAUCGGGCU